GAGCCUACGGGACGCAGCAGUGGGGAAUAUUGGGCAAUGGGCGCAAGCCUGACCCAGCGACGCCGCGUGAGGGAAGACGGUCUUCGGAUUGUAAACCUCUUUCAGCAGGGAAGACAAAAGGACGGUACCUGCAGAAGAAGCCACGGCUAACUACGUGCCAGCAGCCGCGGUAAUACGUAGGUGGCAAGCGUUAUCCGGAUUUACUGGGUGUAAAGGGCGUGUAGGCGGGAAAGCAAGUCAGAUGUGAAAACCAUGGGCUCAACCUGUGGCCUGCAUUUGAAACUGUUUUUCUUGAGUACUGGAGG
rnacentral:rRNA from 1 species